CCCUUAGAUGUCCGGGGCCGCACGCGCGCUACACUGAAGGAAUCAGCGUGGCUUUCUCCCUGACCCGAAAGGGUUGGGAAACCCGUUGAAUCUCCUUCGUGAUAGGGAUUGGGGCUUGAAAUUGUUCCCCAUGAACGAGGAAUUCCCAGUAAGCGCGAGUCAUAAGCUCGCGUUGAUUACGUCCCUGCCCUUUGUACACACCGCCCGUCGCUACUACCGAUUGAACGGUUUAGUGAGGGCCUCGGAUUGGUCUCGGCCCGCUCUUUACCGGGCGGCGCCGUUGGUCGAGAUGACGCUCGAACUUGAUCGUUUAGAGGAAGUAAAAGUCGUAACA
rnacentral:rRNA from 1 species